rnacentral:lncRNA from 10 species
GGCUGCAGGAGAAAGCUCAGCCUUGUGCAGUCCAGAAAUCCUGCCUUGAAGCUCACAGGGGCCCAACCCAGCUGCCCCAGAAACACGGAGACGCUCUAGAGCCGCAUGGAACCUCAGCACAAGAACUUCAAAAAGGACAAACCCAGGUGACCCUUGAGCCCGUACUCAAGGCCAGGCAUGCGUACCACAUUCUGUGAGGGCAAACAAUCAGGAAAGGCUACUCAGGGAGGAAAAGCCAUCGAGAAGAGCCGUGUUGACUCAGCCAGGAAGCAUGAAUGUGGCAUUUCUCAAAGGACAAUCAGCUUGGUUCUCCCGAUUUCAUAAAGUGCAGAGGGAGAGGCCGUGGGCUCAGGUUGGUUCCACCCUGUGGGACUCCACCCACAUGAGCCUUCACCACCACUCCACUUAACUGGGGCUCCAUCAGGUGGGACUGCAUCUACCUAGGGUUCCUGGCUUCCCUUAUCUGGGGCUUUUCCUGGCUCCAGUCACCUAGGGCUCCACCUAACUGGACAGCACUUCUUCUCAAGCACCCAAGGGUCUCCUGGGUGUCCUGGCCAAGGUGCCAUCUGCAGGGAAUCUUUGAAAGACACCGUUCUAACCACCCCCUGCACCCCACAUCCUCCUCAACACCCUCAGGAAAGUACCUGUUCUUAGAAUGGUGUGCCAGGCCCUUUUGUUACCCCACACGCCUACCAGGCAGGACUUUGGCAGCCCUAGGUAGACCUUGCAGCUGGUUUUUAAUUGGCAGCAUCAUUGGCUCUUAGCUACUGAAAACAUAACAGAGACAAGUCUUGCAACAAAAAAUCAAUAUGAUGGAUAAUAGGCAGGAAAAGCAGCCCCCACAGAAUAAGGGAAGGCCCCAGUAAGUCUAAUUUUCAUUGACCCAGUUUCAUUGUCAAAGCACAGAACAUAGCAAGACAGAGUGACCUCCACACCCAAAAAGCUUCAGACUAUUCUGCAAAUGAAGCCACCACGGACCAUCUCUCUCUUCCUCCACGAGCCCAUGGAUGUUAACCACCAAUGAGUGAGUGACAAAGAGAAUUCCCACCUUAGAAAGGAGCAGCUGAGUCUGCUAGUCAUUUAAGACAGGUGGCAGUGAGUGACGAUGGCUGCACUAGCAUCCUGGGGAGGAAAUUAAAGCAUUCGUCGAGGGCCUGACUCAGGAAAGGGUAGAGGAAUGGAUUAUGUCAGCCACAGGAGACCAAGGUGUAGAAGUAAGGCCCCCUGUGAGCUGGGGAAGACAUGGUCGGGAAAACCCAUACCAAAGCCUUCCAUAAACCUCGAGGAAGAGUGCUGCUGACCAAACUAUCUAAGGUGAAGGUGCAGCUGCUGUCAUUCCCAAUCCAUGCAGUGUGAUGUUAGGGCAUACAAAUAAGUACAAAAUCCUUGCUCUCAGGGAGCUUACAAACUUUCCAUUAUACUAAUACCCAUUGAAAUAUGUUCACUCUAAGACAAGGCAAUCAUAAAAUCUACUUACAAGACAGAAAUGAUGAAUUGCAAAGUGAAUUCAUUUCAGCUCAACAAUCCCCCUUCUGCAAAACCUCCCUCAAGAGGGAUUACUGACUUUCUCCACAGCACAUCUCUUCCCAACCAACUUUGAACUUCUCACUAAAAAAAGGAUGAAUGAAAAGUGGAGAGAGGAGUUGCAGAUGACUCUGAAGAUUUCAAGAAAAGGGAGGCAUGGGUUUUUAAAAGCUUGAGGAACACUAGUGUAAAGAGAGAAGAAUGAGGUCAAAUGCUUUGGCAACAUCUUCAUACAAGAGAUAAGCUGAUAAAGAGAAAACAAGUGAAGGUCGCGGCAGCAGGUGUGGAGAGAAGUUAUCACUAAGCUCAUGGGCCUUGGAAACUGAGUGAUCAUGGUGACCCUCAAGAAGACUAUCGGGAGCAGGCGGCAGAGUCCAAAGGGCGGCCACAGCAGCAUGGCUGGAGGUCACAGAACAGGCACCUUCACAUCCUUCCCAUAAGCCUAAGAAAGUGGGGUCCCUGACUUGGCAUUGCACUUUGAAAAUGUCACCCGUAACGCAAGAGGGAAGCUGUGGAAAGUAUUGAAUACAAUCUUUAGAAAGCAAAGCCUUUUUAGUGAGGAAUGCACAUUUAUUUGACAGUGUUCAGUGUUCAGUGCCCACUGCAAGGCAUUUUGCUAACUGUCAUAUUC